rnacentral:rRNA from 1 species
GGCGAACGGGUGAGUAACACGUGGGCAACCUGCCCCGGACACCGGGAUAACUCAGGGAAACCUGGGCUAAUACCGGAUACCUCGGCGUGAUCGCAUGGUCGUGCCGGGAAAGCUCCGACGGUCCGGGAUGGGCCCGCGGCCUAUCAGCUUGUUGGUGGGGUAACGGCCUACCAAGGCGGCGACGGGUAGCUGGUCUGAGAGGACGGCCAGCCACACUGGGACUGAGACACGGCCCAGACUCCUACGGGAGGCAGCAGUAGGGAAUCUUGCGCUAAUGCGCGAAAGCGUGACGCAGCGACGCCGCGUGCGGGAUGAAGGCCCUCGGGUCGUAAACCGCUUUCGGCAGGGACGAAGCGAAAGUGACGGUACCUGCAGAAGAAGUCCCGGCUAACUACGUGCCAGCAGCCGCGGUAACACGUAGGGGACGAGCGUUGUCCGGAUUCAUUGGGCGUAAAGCGCGCGUAGGCGGCUCGGAAAGUCGGUCGUGAAAUCCUGGGGCUCAACCCCGGAACUGCGUCCGAUACUGCCGAGCUGGAGGCAGGUAGGGGAGAUCGGAAUUCCUGGUGUAGCGGUGAAAUGCGCAGAUAUCAGGAGGAACACCGGUGGCGAAGGCGGAUCUCUGGGCCUUGCCUGACGCUGAGGCGCGAAAGCUAGGGGAGCGAACAGGAUUAGAUACCCUGGUAGUCC